rfam:Oryza rufipogon genomic scaffold, chr03
UAAAAAAACAAACCCUAAUUUCCGUGUCUAACGUUUGACCGUCCGUCUUAUUUGAAAAAAUUAUAAAAAAAAAUUAAAAAGAUAAGUUACGCAUAAAAUAUUAAUCAUGUUUUAUCAUCUAACAAUAAUAAAAAUACUAAUUAUAAAAAAAUCUCAUAUAAGACGGAUAGUCAAAUGUUGGUACAGAAAUCUAGAGUUUGACUUUUU